GACGAACGCUGGCGGCGUGCCUAAUACAUGCAAGUAGAACGCUGAAGGAGGAGCUUGCUCUUCUGGAUGAGUUGCGAACGGGUGAGUAACGCGUAGGUAACCUGCCUUGUAGCGGGGGAUAACUAUUGGAAACGAUAGCUAAUACCGCAUAAGAGUAGAUGUCGCAUGACAUUUGCUUAAAAGUUGCAAUUGCAUCACUACCAGAUGGACCUGCGUUGUAUUAGCUAGUUGGUGGGGUAACGGCUCACCAAGGCGACGAUACAUAGCCGACCUGGGAGGGUGAUCGGCCACACUGGGACUGAGACACGGCCCAGACUCCUACGGGAGGCAGCAGUAGGGAAGCGUCGGCAAUGGACGGAAGUCUGACCGAGCAACGCCGCGUGAGGGAAGAAGGUUUUCGGAUCGUAAAGCUCGGUUGUAAGAGAAGAAAGAGUGUGAGAGUGGAAAGUUCACACUGUGACGGUAUCUUACCAGAAAGGGACGGCUAACUACGUG
rnacentral:rRNA from 1 species